AUUUUAAAAGUUUAUGGAUUUGUGCUAAGUUCCUGCUGCUGCUGAAAUCAUCCCAUUUCCUGAUAUGGAUGUUUCAAAAUAAGGGCACUCCAAAAACAUAAAAAAGUGCAGACUCUGUACAGGACUCUGUACAGAACCCUGUGGACAGAAGAGUGUGUGUGUGUUUCUGAAGGACCGUGAUGUGUGUACUUUAUGUCUUCAAAAUGUCGUCUGCUGAACGUCUGGUGUUAAACGCCACUUUGAGACAGAGCUGGAGAAAUCUUCUGAGGAGGAAUUCAUCAAACGUGCUGUGUGGAGGUCUGGGACUGAAGCUAACAGCCUCCCCCUACCAAAGGCAGCCAUACCACUGCUCAGUGCACUGCAGACUAUGGAGAGGCGUUCACUGAGGGGGAAUAUAUGAAGGAGGCGUUUCUCUGGAGCUCUGAGGGUUCGAUGGCUCACCAAACAAACAGACAAUCAAAUCAAGAAGAGAAGACAUUCCAAUGUCAGCCAGGAGUGCUGAUGUUUGCCUCUAUGGACCAAUAAAAGAACAGAUCUGUUGGAGAGUUGAA